rnacentral:tRNA from 2 species
GGGAUGUUAGCUCAAUUGGUAGAGCAGCUGACUUUUAAUCAGCGGGUUGUAGGUUCAAGUCCUACACAUCCCACCA